rnacentral:rRNA from 1 species
UACGGAGGGUGCAAGCGUUAUCCGGAUUCACUGGGUUUAAAGGGUGCGUAGGUUGAUUGGUAAGUCAGUGGUGAAAUACUCCGACUCAAUCGGAGAACUGCCGUUGAUACUAUCAAUCUUGAAUACGGUGGAGGCGGGCGGAAUGCGUCAUGUAGUAGUGAAAUACUUAGAUAUGACGCAGAACACCUAUUGCGAAGGCAGCUCGCUACACCGGCAUUGACACUGAGGCACGAAAGCGUGGGGAGCAAACAGG